UUGGCCUACGGGAGGGCAGCAGUAGGGAAUCUUCCGCAAUGGGCGAAAGCCUGACGGAGCAACGCCGCGUGAGUGAAGAAGGUCUUCGGAUCGUAAAACUCUGUUAUUAGGGAAGAACAAAUGUGUAAGUAACUAUGCACGUCUUGACGGUACCUAAUCAGAAAGCCACGGCUAACUACGUGCCAGCAGCCGCGGUAAUACGUAGGUGGCAAGCGUUAUCCGGAAUUAUUGGGCGUAAAGCGCGCGUAGGCGGUUUUUUAAGUCUGAUGUGAAAGCCCACGGCUCAACCGUGGAGGGUCAUUGGAAACUGGAAAACUUGAGUGCAGAAGAGGAAAGUGGAAUUCCAUGUGUAGCGGUGAAAUGCGCAGAGAUAUGGAGGAACACCAGUGGCGAAGGCGACUUUCUGGUCUGUAACUGACGCUGAUGUGCGAAAGCGUGGGGAUCAAACAGGAUUAGAUACCCUGGUAGUCCACGCCGUAAACGAUGAGUGCUAAGUGUUAGGGGGUUUCCGCCCCUUAGUGCUGCAGCUAACGCAUUAAGCACUCCGCCUGGGGAGUACGACCGC
rnacentral:rRNA from 1 species